UACGUAGGGUCCAAGCGUUAUCCGGAAUCACUGGGCGUAAAGCGUGCGUAGGUGGUUUGUUAAGUGAGAUGUGAAAGCGUAGGGCUCAACCCUAUCGUUGUGUCUCAUACUGGCAAACUAGAGGACAUCAGAGGCAAGUGGAAUUGGUAGUGUAGCAGUGAAAUGCGUAGAUAUUACCAGGAACACCAAUGGCGAAGGCAGCUUGCUGGGAUGUUUCUGACACUGAGGUACGAAAGCGUGGGGAGCGAACAGG
rnacentral:rRNA from 1 species